UACGAAGGGGGCUAGCGUUGUUCGGAAUCACUGGGCGUAAAGCGCACGUAGGCGGAUCUUUAAGUCAGGGGUGAAAUCCCGAGGCUCAACCUCGGAACUGCCUUUGAUACUGGGGAUCUCGAGUCCGGGAGAGGUGAGUGGAACUGCGAGUGUAGAGGUGAAAUUCGUAGAUAUUCGCAAGAACACCAGUGGCGAAGGCGGCUCACUGGCCCGGAACCGACGCUGAGGUGCGAAAGCGUGGGGAGCAAACAGG
rnacentral:rRNA from 1 species